GUCAUUAUACAUAUAAGGUUCAAAAAUAACUGAAAAUUAUUUAAUACAUUCUUGUAAAUAGUUCUUUUAUAAAUUUUAUCUGUUAUUUUAUCACAAUUACAUUAUGAGUUUCUUAUACCACAGCGCCGGAUUUAGGGGGUCAGCGAAGCAAUCGCCUAAGACGAAAAUAAUGGAAGGGCAGGAAAAUGCGGUUACAAUUUCAUACACAAGCUUAAUUAUAUUUAUUUUGACAACAGCGCCGGAUCUAGAUAUUUUGUUACUUGAAGCAACAUUAGAAAAUGGUACUACUACUCUUCACUCAUGC
rnacentral:lncRNA from 1 species